AGGAUGAACGCUGGCGGUGUGCCUAAUACAUGCAAGUCGAACGGGAUCUUCGGAUCUAGUGGCGAACGGGUGAGUAACACGUUGGUACCUACCCCUAAGUGGGGAAUAACUGCCCGAAAGGGUGGCUAAUACCGCAUAAUCCCGCAAGGGUAAAGCAGUAAUGCGCUUAGGGAGGGGCCUGCGUCUGAUUAGCUAGUUGGUAGGGUAAAAGCCUACCAAGGCGACGAUCAGUAGCUGGAUCGAGAGGUUGACCAGCCACACUGGGACUGAGAUACGGCCCAGACUCCUACGGGAGCAGCAGUAAGGAAUCUUCCACAAUGGAC
rnacentral:rRNA from 1 species